UCAUUUAGAGGAAGUAAAAGUCGUAACAAGGUCUCCGUUGGUGAACCAGCGGAGGGAUCAUUACUGAGUUUACGCUCUACAACCCUUUGUGAACAUACCUAUAACUGUUGCUUCGGCGGGUAGGGUCUCCGCGACCCUCCCGGCCUCCCGCCUCCGGGCGGGUCGGCGCCCGCCGGAGGAUAACCAAACUCUGAUUUAACGACGUUUCUUCUGAGUGGUACAAGCAAAUAAUCAAAACUUUUAACAACGGAUCUCUUGGUUCUGGCAUCGAUGAAGAACGCAGCGAAAUGCGAUAAGUAAUGUGAAUUGCAGAAUUCAGUGAAUCAUCGAAUCUUUGAACGCACAUUGCGCCCGCCAGCAUUCUGGCGGGCAUGCCUGUUCGAGCGUCAUUUCAACCCUCAAGCUCUGCUUGGUGUUGGGGCCCUACAGCCGAUGUAGGCCCUCAAAGGUAGUGGCGGACCCUCCCGGAGCCUCCUUUGCGUAGUAACUUUACGUCUCGCACUGGGAUCCGGAGGGACUCUUGCCGUAAAACCCCCCAAUUUUCCAAAGGUUGACCUCGGAUCAGGUAGGAAUACCCGCUGAACUUAAGCAUAUCA
rnacentral:rRNA from 1 species